CGGAUGCCGAAGGGGGCAAUUUGCUUACGGGU
rnacentral:scRNA from 1 species